GCCAGACUCCUACGGGAGGCAGCAGUGGGGAAUAUUGCACAAUGGGGGAAACCCUGAUGCAGCGACGCCGCGUGAGUGAAGAAGUAUCUCGGUACGUAAAGCUCUAUCAGCAGGGAAGAAAAUGACGGUACCUGACCAAGAAGCCCCGGCUAACUACGUGCCAGCAGCCGCGGUAAUACGUAGGGGGCAAGCGUUAUCCGGAUUUACUGGGUGUAAAGGGGGCGCAGACGGCAGCGCAAGCCAGGAGUGAAAGCCCGGGGCCCAACCCCGGGACUGCUCUUGGAACUGCGCGGCUGGAGUGCAGGAGGGGCAGGCGGAAUUCCUGGUGUAGCGGUGAAAUGCGUAGAGAUCGGGAGGAACACCAGUGGCGAAGGCGGCCUACUGGGCUUUAACUGACGCUGAAGCACGAAAGCGUGGGUAGCAAACAGGAUUAGAUACCCCAGUACC
rnacentral:rRNA from 1 species